CAGAAGGACUGGGCGUAGGCCCGUCUGGAGCCGCCGUCGGUGCAGAUCUUGGUGGUAGUAGCAAAUACUCCAGCGAGGCCCUGGAGGACUGACGUGGAGAAGGGUUUCGUGUGAACAGCCGUUGCACACGAGUCAGUCGAUCCUAAGCCCUAGGAGAAAUCCGAUGUUAAUGCAGUUGUGUCUUUAUUAUACGAUGACAUUUAGUGUGAGAGUUUCAAACAGUUGACGUUUAUACUUGGAUACGGACCAAAUGAUGCUGACUGAUAUAUCAAUACUGUCGCUAUCCCAAAUUUGAACCGUUCAGAAGUAGAAGCAGUCGGUGGACUCUUACUUACUUGGUUCAAUGUCUGGUGAGCGAUUUACAUGAUAGUUGAAGCAACACAUUUUUUUCUGUUGAAAAGUGUCUUCUGUCUCUAUCCGCUAAUAAAUCGUUGUUAGAGAAGUAUCACACUCAUUGGGCGAAAGGGAAUCCGGUUCCUAUUCCGGAACCCGGCAGCGGAACCGUUUACAAGUCGGGCCCUCGUAAGAGAGUUCGUCGGGGCAACCCAACAGGACCUGGAGACGCCGUCGGGAGAUCCGGGAAGAGUUUUCUUUUCUGUAUGAGCGUUCGAGUUCCCUGGAAUCCUCUAGC
rnacentral:rRNA from 1 species